UAUGUGGUUUAAUUCGAUGCAACGCGAAGAACCUUACCUGGUCUUGACAUCCCGGAGACCCUUAGGAAACUAGGGGGUGCUUCCAUCUGGAAGAAUCUGGAGACAGGCGCUGCAUGGCUGUCGUCAGCUCGUGUCGUGAGAUGUUGGGUUAAGUCCCGCAACGAGCGCAACCCUUGCCUUUAGUUGCCAGCAGUUCGGCUGGGCACUCUAAAGGGACUGCCGGUGUUAAACCGGAGGAAGGUGGGGAUGACGUCAAGUCCUCAUGGCCUUUAUGACCAGGGCUACACACGUACUACAAUGGCCGAUACAAAGGGCAGCGACACUGCGAGGUGAAGCCAAUCCCGUAAAAUCGGUCUCAGUCCGGAUUGGAGUCUGCAACUCGACUCCAUGAAGUUGGAAUCGCUAGUAAUCGUGGAUCAGCAUGCCACGGUGAAUACGUUCCCGGGCCUU
rnacentral:rRNA from 1 species